UCCUCCGUCGCCUCUAGAGCACCGCUGCUCUCCUCUCCUCCAUCAUCCGUAUCUAGGGCAUCGCUGCCCUCCUCCUUCCCAUCAGAAGACGCAGGAAACGAACUCUCCCGUCCUACCUGCUUCCCUUCUUCUAUCUGGGUUCGAUUUUUCUUCAAAAUAAGUCUAAGUGCUGAGCCAUAGACCUAGAAGUGAAAGAGCCCAAAGGAAAAAUGGAUCCACAACCGAACACACUGCCGCCAUCGCCGGUUCACAAGAGCGAUGCAGAUGAAGAUGAUGAGAACGUCAAACAGCUCCAACAAUGCUCUUCUCUGUAUUUACUAUUACAAGAUUGUCUUGUCAAUUCCAAUAGAAACUGGAAGGCUUGCCAGAAAGAGGUUCAAGAUCUCAAAACCUGCAAUGAGAGAAGACAAAGUGUCAAAAGGCACACACAUGGUGGAAAUUAAUGAACAUUUACCUAUUCGGAUUUUUGUGUCGCAUUUUCUUAUUGUUGUUAUAGAGAACAGUUGACUUGACUUUUUCAUCCAAUUUGGAGAUAGGAGAUAAUGGUUUAGACUUUUGACAAUGGUUUAAGACUUUUGUUGGUGAGUGCUGACCAGGAGAUGAUGGUUUAGACUUUUGAUCUUCAUUUUCAGUGUUUUUGAAUUUUAGAUUGUGCUGAUGACAAUUUUCUGCCAAUUUUUUUGGGAAAUUUUGAUCAUUGAAGAGUAGGAUGAUGAUAUGGAUUGGUUUUUGUAGUUGGUAUUAAAGUUCUUCUGCAUUGAGGUUUCACUUUCUCUAACCUCAAUAAAGUUUGUUAUACAUCACAGUUUGAGAUGUUAAUGUACCUAUCCGAUACUUUUUCUUA